UACGGGAGGCAGCAGUGAGGAAUAUUGGUCAAUGGUCGCAAGACUGAACCAGCCAAGUAGCGUGCAGGAUGACGGCCUUACAGGUUGUAAACUGCUUUUAUGCGAGGGUAAAGUGUGCCACGUGUGGCAUAUUGCAAGUAUCGCAUGAAUAAGGACCGGCUAAUUCCGUGCCACGCAGCCGCGGUAAU
rnacentral:rRNA from 1 species